rnacentral:lncRNA from 12 species
AUGGUAUCCAGGAGAAAAAGACAAGGAGCUUCUCUUAAGUGGGAUGCAUGGCAAACAAAUGCUGAUUGCAUGUUUAUGAGGAAGUGUGAUCCAGUGUCUCUGUUGCUGCCUGUACAGUUUACCUUGACUUUCGCUCUGACCUUGCGUUCGGUGAAGUUUGGAUUGUGUUCGUUAAAAUGUAGUUGCAUCAUCUCUGGGUCUUUUUAGGCUACAAAUAUCUGGAAGAUGCUAACCAUCAGUCAUCCCCCUUUGAAUUCCUGCUAAUGGCCUGGCAUGGUGCCCCACACAUAGUAGGUACUCAGUAAAUAUUUGCUUAGGUAGUGAUAAGGUGACAAACAGCAGAAUUAGUUUUCCAAACACCCACACUUUAGUUAAAGCACUUUAUGAAAUGCAUAAGGUGUUUUCUACAUAUUGGGAAAAAGCUAAAAAAAAAAAAAAAAUGUAUGUGGGCUAGACAUAUGAAACAUUCCCUGGAAUAUCCUGGCUCUGGUUACCUAAAGUCAUGGCUGGGUCAUGCAUUUACCGGAGGUCAAAGCUUAGAGAAUGCAGCUUUGAAGGUUCUCUGCAUAAGGGUGUAAUUUCAAGUUACUAAUAACUCAGGAACACUUGAUCUCUUUCCUUAUUCUUGCCCAGAUGAGUCAUUUUCUUGGUAGUUUACCUUGAACUCCUCCUAUUUAUACACAGCAGACUAGCUGGCAUGGAAAAUUGUGUGCAUCUGUCUUUCAUAUUGAAAUAUGUAUCUAUAUGUAUUUUUUUCUCCCUUUACUAUUCUUUUUCUCAUUUUCUCAUUUCUCUAUUGUUUUUGCCUAAAACUGGGGAAGCCUCCUCCAGGGUGAGCUAAUCUUAAAUCUAUCAUGAAGAUGGGGUCUCCACCUUUGAAUGAAUUUAUUAUAUAAGAACAAAGCCCCAAAAAGACCCGCUGCAUUGUUUCCCAAAGAAUUGUCCAGAAGAAUUUCCACUUCUCAGAGCCUCAUUUGUUUUCUAAAUCCCCGAAGAGAGAUUUGACUCAGCAAAAAUGAGUUUUGAGCCUUCUUCAGCAGCAGCAACAGCGGCUGAGCUGUGGAUCUUGGCUCUAAGACUGGCCUAGUUAUUCAGCAGAUACUGUCCCAGCCAAGCCCUGGAAUA